UCAGGGUUUCCUGAGAGCUCUAGACAAAGCAGAUAGAGCUCUAGGGUCUAGUGGGAAUGGGACGUGUGAUGGAUCCUGCUCCAACUCAGCCUAGGUCCACCUCCUGGUUCACUUCUGAUCUCAGGUUUUCUGCAUCCACAGAAUGCUCAUGUUUUUAACACAGAUGGGAAGGCACAUUGCUGUCAGUUCUUGAAAGGAACCAUUUCUCCAAGGAAAGCUAUACAUAUCUACAGAGAUGCCAGAGAGUUCCAUACAGCCUGGACUGCGAUGGAGCAACCAGCUAUCCUGGACGUGGCAACACCCCAACUUUCUCCAGUCCCCCAAAGAUGGCUGACACCCCAGGUCAGCAGGAAGCAGUCUUGAGAACCCCCAUACCCUUAUUCCCUGACUUGCCAUGCCCAACAACCCACCUUUUAAAUUAUCAUAAGAGGUGGGAAUUGUAGAAACUCUGGCAUUAGAUAUUAUACUAACUCCACCCCCCUGACGACCGGCGGGGAGGCAGUGACACAGCUACAUCAUCACCGUGUCACUCUUCACAGGACUCAGUACGUAUGUACAACUCCCCUUUUAUAAGAUCCGUAGCUGCCCCGCCCCUCUGCUGAGCAUGGGUUGGUUCCCUCUCCAUCCCCCUUCCUUUCCUGUCUACCAAUAAACUCCACGUGGGACCGUU